CCCUUAGAUGUCCUGGGCCGCACGCGUGCUACACUGACACUUACACCGAGUUUUUCCGGCCCCGAGAGGUGGCUGGUAAUCAGUAAUAGGUGUCGUGAUGGGGAUAGAUCUUUGGAAUUAUUGAUCUUGAACGAGGAAUGCCUAGUAAUCGUAGGUCAUCAGCCUGCGACGAUUACGUCCCUGCCCUUUGUACACACCGCCCGUCGCUCCUACCGAUUUCGAGUGGUCCGGUGAACCUUUCGGACAGAGAGAGUCUCGUACAAUCUCUGAAAGUCAAGUAAACCACAUCACUUAGAGGAAGGAGAAGUCGUAACA
rnacentral:rRNA from 1 species